rnacentral:lncRNA from 1 species
ACAACACACACGUUCUGGUGCUGGAGAUCCUGCCCUGGCUGAGCUUCUGGACCUGGUGGGGAGAAAUCCACAAUGAGUACUGAGACGACCGGCAAAAGCCCGGUGAAGGCACCUAGGAGUAGGGCCUGCUUACCCUGGAGGAGUCGGGAGCAGCUUCCACAGCAAGGAGGCUUCUAAGGCCAAGCUGUCACGCAAGGAAGCGGCCACGCGAGGGCGUGAUCUACCAGGGAUCCGUGCCUGGGUCUGUGCAUCCUCCCUUCUGCAGCCAGAAGAAACCCCUUUGAAGAAGCGGGUGGAUGACAAGCUUGCAAUACACCGGGGAGGGGAGCAGCAUCCCCAGAGGCUUUUCCAUGCACCCUCUUUCUGAGCAGCUCUGGAUACCCUGGGUCAGCUCCCACACAAAUUGCUCAUAACUCAUUAGUCACCCUUAAAAUUAAUCUCUCCAACAGUGACAUCCUGUACUCAGGCGGUGUCUUAACCCCCUGAAAAUGCCUUCGUGGCAAUGUCCCUGUGGCAUAAGCAUGCCCCAUUUUGCAAGGGAGGGAAUUAAAUUUCAGAGAAGUUAAGCGAUCCAGGGAAUUUCAGUAGCAGAAAUAAGUCUAGAACGGAGAUUACCCAACUUGACUCAAAUGGCAAAACGUUUGUCAUGGGGAAUUUAAUUCUUUAAACCUUUUCGUUGCUUUAUCUCCUUGCUUGGAAUAUUCACCAUCCAUGUGCCCACUAAAUCCUGACUGCUCUGAGACCACGUUCUUCAUGCCAGUCUUAUCUCCCGUGCCUCCUGGGCUUAGGAAUCUGAUGAGCCUGAGUGUGGAUCUGGGUCCUGCCCCCUGACUGUGUGGGGUUACCCGGAUUCCCUGAACUUCGGUCUCCCCUCAUGGAAAAUGGGGAUGGUAUGCCUUCCUACAUGAAGGCGAUCUCAAUAUAGUUACCAGCUGGCGACUAUACAGGCAGUUGUCAGUCAGCCUGUGGGACACAUGGGUGGCUGGAUCAGUCUGGCAGGAGCAGGUGGAGAGAAUUACCAGGUGAUAUGCUGACCCCACGAGGACCAAGGACCGCACUGCUCAAGCCUUCACCUGCCACUUGGCAUUAAAGCCUCUUUACCCUUGUCUCCCCAACCGGACAAUACAUUCCUAGGUGGGAGGGCCCCUGCCUUUCACUGCUGCUGUCUUGGAGCUAGGCAAUGUAAUUUCAUGUAUCAGAUGACGGCUGUCAAGCACUAAGUUUUGUUUGUUCCUUCUGCUGUCUCCUAAGUUCACAAAUAAACAACAGCCCUGAGAAUCCUCA